AGACCAGACUAGCCAUGCACGUCUAGUACAAACUAAAUGAUGGUGAAACUGCAAAUGGCUCAUUACAACGGUUAUGAUGUACCCGGGAGUUCCGAUGGAUAUUUCCAGUAACACUAGAACUAAUACAUGUCCCUGCGUUUAUUAGUUUCGCACAGUCCGUCGCUGAGUCAUGGUAAACAGUUGAUCGACUCGACGUCCCGGAACAGUUUCCGCCCCAUCAGCUUCGAUGGUUGGGUAUUGGCCUACCAUUGCAACAACGGGUAACGAGGAAUUAGGGUUUGAUUUCGGAGAGGGAGCCUGAGAAACGGCUACCACAUCUACGGAUGGCAGCAGGCGCGCAAAUUACCCAAUGCAGACACUGUGAGGUAGUGACGAGAAAUAAUAAAGCGGGACUUCUGUUUCGCUAUUAUAAUGAGGAAUAACCAAAGGUCAUUCCGAUUAGCAACUGAUGGGAAAGUCUGGUGCCAGCAGCCGCGGUAAUACCAGCGUCAGUAGCAUAU
rnacentral:rRNA from 1 species